rnacentral:rRNA from 1 species
UACGGGGGGGGCAAGCGUUGUUCGGAAUUACUGGGCGUAAAGGGCUUGUAGGUGGCCAACUAAGUCAGACGUGAAAUCCCUCGGCUUAACCGGGGAACUGCGUCUGAUACUGGAUGGCUUGAGGUUGGAAGAGGGAAGCGGAAUUUCCGGUGUAGCGGUGAAAUGCGUAGAUAUCGGAAGGAACACCAGUGGCGAAAGCGGCUUCCUGGUCCAGCACCGACGUUCAGGCACGAAAGCCAGGGGAGCAAACGGG